rnacentral:rRNA from 1 species
CGAGAGGCCCAAACGUUAUUCGGAAUUACUGGGCUUAAAGAGUUCGUAGGCGGCAUGAAAAGUAGGGUGUGAAAGCCCUCGGCUCAACCGAGGAAUUGCGCUCUAAACUGUCGUGCUCGAGGAACCUAGAGGUGAGCAGAACAGAUGGUGGAGCGGUGAAAUGCGUUGAUAUCAUCUGGAAUACCGGAGGCGAAGGCGGCUCACUGGGGGUUUUCUGACGCUGAGGAACGAAAGCCAGGGUAGCGAACGGGAUUAGAUACCCCGGUAGUCCUGGCCGUAAACGAUGAGCACUAGGCCGGAGCCCUGCACAGGGUUUCGGCCGUAGCUAAAGUGUUAAGUGCUCCGCCUGGGGAGUAUGGUCGCAAGGCUG